rnacentral:rRNA from 1 species
AUUGAACGCUGGCGGCAGGCUUAACACAUGCAAGUCGAGCGGGGUGAUGGUGCUUGCACUAUCACUUAGCGGCGGACGGGUGAGUAAUGCUUAGGAAUCUGCCUAUUAGUGGGGGACAACAUCUCGAAAGGGAUGCUAAUACCGCAUACGUCCUACGGGAGCAAGCAGGGGAUCACUUGUGACCUUGCGCUAAUAGAUGAGCCUAAGUCGGAUUAGCUAAUUGGUGGGGUAAAGGCCCACCAAGCCAACGAGCUGUAGCUGGUCUGAGAGGACGACCAGCCACACUGGAACUGAGACACGGUCCAGACUCCUACGGGAGGCAGCAGUGGGGAAUUUUGGACAAUGGUCGAAAGCCUGAUCCAGCCAUUCCGCGUGCAGGAUGAAGGCCCUCGGGUUGUAAACUGCUUUUGUACAGAACGAAAAGGUUUCUACUAAUACUAGGAGCUCAUGACGGUACUGUAAGAAUAAGCACCGGCUAACUACGUGCCAGCCGCCGCUGUAA